GCAUGGCGUAGUGGUUUGAGCAUUUGACUACAACUCUUGAGACCAGGGUUCAAAUCCCUGCUUGUCCA